CUACGGGACGCACCAGUGGGGAAUAUUGGACAAUGGGGGAAACCCUGAUCCAGCAAUGCCGCGUGUGUGAAGAAGGCCUGCGGGUUGUAAAGCACUUUCGGUUGGGAGGACUGCUUCUAGCACUAAUAUUGUUGGAAGUUGACGUUACCUUCAGAAGAAGCACCGGCUAACUCCGUGCCAGCAGCCGCGGUAAUACGGAGGGUGCAAGCGUUAAUCGGAAUUACUGGGCGUAAAGCGCGCGUAGGCGGCUAGAUCAGUCGGGUGUGAAAGCCCCGGGCUUAACCUGGGAACUGCAUCCGAUACUGUCUAGCUGGAGUACAGGAGAGGAGAGUGGAAUUCCACAUGUAGCGGUGAAAUGCGUAGAUAUGUGGAGGAACACCAAUGGCGAAGGCAGCUCUCUGGCCUGAUACUGACGCUGAGGUGCGAAAGCGUGGAGAGCAAACAGGAUUAGAUACCCCCGUAGUC
rnacentral:rRNA from 1 species